GGCUCAGGAUGAACGCUAGCUACAGGCUUAACACAUGCAAGUCGAGGGGAAACGAUAUUGGAAGCUUGCUUCCGAUAGGCGUCGACCGGCGCACGGGUGAGUAACGCGUAUCCAACCUGCCCAUCACUUGGGGAUAACCUUGCGAAAGUAAGACUAAUACCCAAUGACGUCUCUAGAAGACAUCUGAAGGAGAUUAAAGAUUUAUCGGUGAUGGAUGGGGAUGCGUCUGAUUAGCUUGUUGGCGGGGUAACGGCCCACCAAGGCGACGAUCAGUAGGGGUUCUGAGAGGAAGGUCCCCCACAUUGGAACUGAGACACGGUCCAAACUCCUACGGGAGGCAGCAGUGAGGAAUAUUGGUCAAUGGACGAGAGUCUGAACCAGCCAAGUAGCGUGCAGGAUGACGGCCCUAUGGGUUGUAAACUGCUUUUAUAAGGGAAUAAAGUGAGUCUCGUGAGGCUUUUUGCAUGUACCUUAUGAAUAAGGACCGGCUAAUUCCGUG
rnacentral:rRNA from 1 species